UACAGAGGGUGCAAGCGUUAAUCGGAAUUACUGGGCGUAAAGCGUGCGUAGACGGUUACGUAAGUCGGGUGUGAAAGCCCCGGGCUCAACCUGGGAAUUGCAUUCGAGACUGCAUAGCUAGGGUGCGGAAGAGGGAAGCGGAAUUUCCGGUGUAGCGGUGAAAUGCGUAGAUAUCGGAAGGAACACCAGUGGCGAAAGCGGCUUCCUGGUCCAGCACCGACGUUCAGGCACGAAAGCGUGGGGAGCAAAAGGG
rnacentral:rRNA from 1 species